UGGUCUGUAACUGACGCUGAGGAGCGAAAGCGUGGGGAGCGAACAGGAUUAGAUACCCUGGUAGUCCACGCCGUAAACGAUGAGUGCUAAGUGUUAGGGGGUUUCCGCCCCUUAGUGCUGCAGCUAACGCAUUAAGCACUCCGCCUGGGGAGUACGGUCGCAAGACUGAAACUCAAAGGAAUUGACGGGGGCCCGCACAAGCGGUGGAGCAUGUGGUUUAAUUCGAAGCAACGCGAAGAACCUUACCAGGUCUUGACAUCCUCUGACAAUCCUAGAGAUAGGACGUCCCCUUCGGGGGCAGAGUGACAGGUGGUGCAUGGUUGUCGUCAGCUCGUGUCGUGAGAUGUUGGGUUAAGUCCCGCAACGAGCGCAACCCUUGAUCUUAGUUGCCAGCAUUCAGUUGGGCACUCUAAGGUGACUGCCGGUGACAAANNGGAGGAAGGUGGGGAUGACGUCAAAUCAUCAUGCCCCUUAUGACCUGGGCUACACACGUGCUACAAUGGACAGAACAAAGGGCAGCGAAACCGCGAGGUUAAGCCAAUCCCA
rnacentral:rRNA from 1 species